UGGAGUCGAGAGGAGAAUAAUCCAUACCAUCAGUUAAGGUCCCAAAAUACGGCUCAGUGAAAAAGGAUGUGAUUUUGCUUAGACAAUGGGGAUGUUGGCUUAGAGGCAGCCAUCAUUUAAACAGUGCGUAACAGCUGACCCAUCGAGCGAAAUUGCGCCGAAAAUGAUCGGGACUUAAGCCGUAUACCGAAGCUAUGGGUUUACCGUAAGGUAAGCAGUAGGAAAGCGUUCCAAGUGCAGCGAAGUGGAAGGGUAACCGACCAUGGAGCGCUUGGAAGUGAGAAUGCAGACAUAAGUAACGAUAAAGAUGGUUGAAUUCCAUCUCGCCUAAAUCCCAAGGAUUCCUGGGGAAGGUUCGUCCUCCCAGGGUUAGUCGGGUGCUAAGACGAGGCCGUAAGGAGUAGUCGAUGCCAAGCUGGUUUAAUAUUCCAGCACCACUCGAAACCGUUUGAUCCAUAGAGUGACGGAGAAAGUUAACAGAGCAACGUGUUGAAUCGUUGUCUACGCUCGUAGGCUGUUCGGGGAUAAAAUACCGAAUAAGGCCGUAAAGUAAUGGGACCUCAAAGCUACGGCUGAGAGGGAUUCUGUGAUACUAUGCUUCCAAGAAAAACUUUGUGGUUAGGCCAAGAGUGCCCGUACCGUAAACCGACACAGGUCGGAAAGAUGAGUAUUCUAAGGCGCGCGAGUCAAAUCUCUCUAAGGAACUCGGCAAAUUAACCCCGUAUCUUCGGUAUAAGGGGUGCCUCGAAAGAGGCCGCAGUUAAUUGCGUCAACCGACUGUUUAGCAAAAACACAGCACUCUGCUAAGUCGCAAGACGACGUAUAGGGUGUGACACGUGACCAAUGCGGAAAGGUGAAAGUCUAGGGUGCAAGCUCUGGAUCUAAGCCCCCGUGAAUGUCGGCCGUAACUAUAACGGUCCUAAGGUAGCGAAAUUCCUUGUCGGGUAAGUUCCGACCCGCACGAAUCGUGUAACGAGUUGACGACUGUCUCGGAGAGAGGCUCGGUGAAAUUGUAGUGGCGGUGAAGAUGCCGCCUACCCGCAGCAGGACGGAAAGACCCUAUGCACCUUUACUGUAUGCUGUUAUUGUCGCUUGAUUUUUAAUACGUAGAAUAGGUGGGAGACUUCGAAGCUUGGUCUCAGGAUCAGGCUGAGUCACAACGUGAAAUACCACUUUUUAAUUGUUAGGCGUCUAACCUCACACCAUUAUCUGGUUGAGGGACAGUGAUAGCAGGUCAGUUUUUCUGGGGCGGAAUCCUCCCAAAAAGUAACGGAGGAUUACGAAGGUUCCCUCGGCCCGGUCGGUAAUCGGGCUAUAGAGCGCAUGAGUAUAAGGGAGCUUUACUGUGAGACCAACAAGUCGAGCAGUUGCGAAAGCAGGUUCAAGUGAUCCGGUGGUUGAAUA
rnacentral:rRNA from 1 species